UGCCCCGGCACAGCGGAGCGGGGCCCGCCCGCGGCCUCCCCACAUCCUGCGCAGACCUCCGGCUUCCCAGUUAGCGUCCUUCACAAGUACUGCUGUUUGUGAUGCAGAAGACAUUUCAACUUGGAAAAGAGAUGAAUGAGGGGAAGCAUCACAGAUGUCUAUUCAGUCACAAGUGGCAUGGAAAGGGUGACUAAGGAAUGAUUGGUUAAACUUUUACCCAUUAUAAUGGCCAGCUGGUAGGCAGUAGAUCCUUAACUGACACAUGAAAGUAUUUUUCAUAAGAUGUGUUCAAGUUAUGCAACUCUUUGUGACAGAACAUUAGAGGUUUAAAGUUUACAUGGUUUGAAGGAGAGAUUGAACAAAUUAGUGAAAAAGAAAUUCAUUGUCUGCUGUUAAAAACAAAAUAUUUUUCUUGGGUUAGGAACUCCCUAAUAAGUUGUCAGAAUGUUGGAGAGUCAUUUGGGGAAGUACCAAGAAGAUAUUUUGUCAAUUUUCAGUCUAUUCCUGAGAACAACAUUCAGCCACUAUUGAAGGCAUGAUGCUGGCUGAGACAGAUUUUUGGACCAUCCCUGAACAGCCCUGCUUGUAUUCUUUGGAGCUGAAAGAGAGGUCAGGGUGGGGAGGGGGAGCCAGAAAUUCUAGAAAAGUGUUCUCUUAUUUUUUUUCUGAAAACCUGCCUGUUGAAGUGGCUGCCAAUUCACAGAGUGAAAAUUUUCCUGUGUUUCUCCAAGACAGUCUGAAAGAGUAUCCACCCUGAAGAGUCAAAUCAGUAGCAUCUUUGGCCCCAGAGGAAUUAACAUGGCAACAGGAUCAUUCUGGAUCAACCAGAAGUCAAAACUGCAACAAGAAACUUUGGAGGUCCCCUACUGUGUUCUUGGAAGGAGAUUAGACUUUACAAAGAACCUAUACCAUGCCAGGACUGCUGGCUGGCUAGCCCAGAGUAUUGCUGUGAGUACCCUCAGGAGCAAUUAACCCUAUCAGUAACAGUAUGAGUAGGGUUGCUCCUGGAUGUAACAUCUGUGUGCUGGGCAGGGAGCCACUCGCAAGGUCAGGCAAACUCUACAGCAGAAUGAUUUGGCUGCAAACCUGCAGUGCUGCAAAGUGGGUGAUACUGAAAAACCAUAAAGACACAAAGUGUUUGGUGGCAUGAGACUGACAUUCUGCAGGACUUCUUGGGCUAUCAGCACAGGAUCUGUGAGCAGUUUAGUCAGUUCAGGUUGCUGUUUUGAAAAGGUAGAAACUGAGCCACAAAGGGUAAUGAGUUUUUCUUAAUGCAAUUAAAUAUUUUUAAAAACA